AAAGCAGUGACCUCAAGUAGAUCAUUGUCUUUUAUUGCUGCCAGAUUUUAUACCAAGACAGUUAUCCUGGUGUGAAAAGGUGCCUUUUCACAUCACAGACAAAGUAAAAGCCUUUGCGUUUCCAACUCUCAUGUGGAAUUUUUUGCCAGUGGCAAAUCCGAGUUAAAUUUGAAAUGUUUAUCAAGUGAUUCACCUUUUGCACAGCCCAGAACGGCUGCCUCGUGACAAUGUCACUUCCCCAAAAAGCAACUUCUACACAAGCAUGCAGCACAGUGUGAGUCCAGGGGGCAUACUGAGGAGCUGCAACGGCCAAAAGGACAGCGAUGAGCCUCAGCUCGGUGCCGUGGUCCCGAACAAGUGGUUUGUAGCCCUCAUGACGAGGAAGAUUUGUAACAUAGACCAAGAAGCCCAGGCUAGUCUUUUUGCAUCAAUCCACCUGCCGACGUACUGCAAUAAUCUCCAAUUGAGCGCGAGUGCAGCAGCCUCAUAAAUCAAUGCAAAUAGCAUAAGCUUCUAAAAUAGCCAUGGAUACGGGAUAACCCAUCCUCAGCCCAGGUGGGUCAGAUUGAAAGGAGCUCUUCAAACCCCCACCAUCAAUUGCAGUAAAACCUUCCCGCACCUCAUCGAUAACAUGAAUCCAGUGUUUACUCUCUGAUCCGCUGUUACACUGAUGGACAUGGUGAUACCAAGGAAAUACCUACUUUUUUUUAUCCUGGAUUGUGGUUAGAAGUGGAUGAGAUGAGAGCAUGCCACCCCCACCCUGAUCUGGCCCUUCCCUCUUCCAAACAUGACACCAGCUCCACAAUUUCGGAAACUGUAGUAUUUUGGUUUGUUUGGUUGUUUGUUUGUUUUUAAAAAAAAAUAUGAAAAAUGAAUGAAAUCGAGGUUAUGGAGCUGUAAUUCCAGGGCAGAGCUCCACCAAACGCAUGGGGCUCUUAGCGCUUUAUUUCUGUGGUUUCUCAGGACACAAGCUCCUUGAUGGAAUUACAGUGCUGUCAUU
rnacentral:lncRNA from 1 species